AGGCUUUUAUUACUCGUGCCUUUUAUCCACAAAUGACCUGCUUCUCUUCAAGGUGGCAAAAGUGACUUGAGCUCGUGUUUGUCAUAAAGAUGAUUUUGCUAACGUUUUUCAAAGUUAUGAUUAUUGUGUUUAUGGUUUUCAGUACAGAUUUGAAGACCAAAAUGGAGAAAACAGAAAUGAUUGAUGAAGCAGGAGUGAAAUGGACACGUUAUAUGCAAAACAAGGGGGGCACUGGCUGUGGAGUAAUGGGCCCUUUGUGCUGAAACGUGGUCGUGUUGCAGUGAUUGCAGCAGCCAUUUGGAAGGAAAUGAAAGGAACCCUCUGCGUCAACCUUCCACCUUUUUCACAGACUGUUGGCCGAUUCCGUAAAGAUUCCGUCUGAACGAAGGAACUUGGCAUCAAGAGCAUUUAAUAGCAGG
rnacentral:lncRNA from 1 species